GUCUGCAACCCGACUCCAUGAAGCUGGAUUCGCUAGUAAUCGCGCAUCAGCCAUGGCGCGGUGAAUACGUUCCCGGGCCUUGUACACACCGCCCGUCAAGCCAUGGGAGCCGGGGGUGCCUGAAGUUCGUGACCGCAAGGAGCGACCUAGGGCAAAACUGGUGACUGGGGCUAAGUCGUAACAAGGUAUC
rnacentral:rRNA from 1 species